AUGGGAGUUGUCAGCUUCCGCACAGCUCAAGACAGCAACGGAGUUCUCAACUCAUGGGCAAUGAACCUUGAGAAGCUCCUCGAUCUUGUUGAGAAGAGCUGCCACCAAAUACACAAGGAGACCAUGAUCCAUAAGGCGGUGUUGAAAGCUUAAGUUUUGGCGCGUUUUUUAGGUUCCCUUGGUAGCCAGCCAUGCGUCGAUCGAGAUAUUGUAACAGCAAUACUAUGAAUACUAUUUGUUGUUGGGGGCAUACUCACUGUCCUCCAAUUUGCUUAACUCGUGUAUCUUGCUGAAUAUUGUUUGAACUCUUUAGAUCUGCAAUCUGAUACCUGUCUUGAAAACUAGAUCCAGCUUAUCGAGUUUGGAGUAGAAAGAACGGCCAUUUACAGAGACGAUUUAAAUUGAAUCAAUGUUCUCACAAAUAAAAUGCUACUCGAUUCAUCUCAGUUUCCCUGCAUUUUUUUAGGAAACACGAUGUCAUAGCCUGGACCCACAAUACAUUUGGCAACAAGUGGGAACCUUAUUCGUGUUGCAAAUUUACAAAAUGUUCAAGCUCAAACUGGCCUACCUGAUUUUACAGAAGAGGUAAAACCGUGAGCAACAUGAUAUGCAAUAGCAGGUGCAACAGUUUGCUGUAAAUUGCUUGGACAUGCUGGGAGUUGAAUGGAACAAACAAUCCAGUAGCAUAACAUUGCAAUGGAAACUGUACGAUUAAAAUCACAAAUUGCAGAAAAUCUUAUUUCAAUGAAAGUGCACUGAGCAUCUUCAGUUCUUUAACAUGCCUGAAUUUUACAGCAAAUACUACAACAUUUUGAUUAAUUGUAUGUUGUGUGCUCCUGGUUCAAUGGUCUCUAAGAACACAUCGCUUUCUCUAAAGUUUCCUGCAGUUCUCCACUCUUAUAUGCCUCUGCAAAAAUAAACAGCGACGUUAGGAUUAAGCUCAGCUGAAACACUGAGAUAAAAGCCAUUAUUGAAUCGUUAUAAACAUAUCCCAUACACAGAAUUCAGUUGCUUGAUAUGUUGCAGUACUGGGGUGAAGGUGUACCCUAUCUACUUUCUAACCAAUGUUUCUACAAGUACUAUCAACUAUGUCAGGAGUUUUUUUGAAUGGAUGGGUUGUGAGGUUGCAAAAUCUUUUGAAGACAGUUAUCUGAAAUGGGCUGAAAUAACGAAAAUAUAUGAGUGCAAACAGGAAUUUGCACGGUGUAUGUGGAGUGUUUUCUACUUACAGAUUUUUGCGCUUUGUUAUAUUUUCCUCUGGCUCAAGUUCAGUACCGCAAAUUUAGACCACUCAACUUAACUUCAGUACAUAAGCAUCCCACAUACUUUUAACAAUGACUUCAUGUGUUCAACUAGACAAGUAGGUGUUCAGAAGGAGCAGCAUGUUCAUCAACCCUACAGUCUAAAACAGCAAACCAGAUAGUAUUCAAAGUCAUGCUCAUGCAGAUAGUUAGAUACAAUCAGCACAAUGGUUUUGGAGAGGGAAAAGUAUGAUGGGUGGUGCAGGAAUGGGAUUUGUGCUUAUGAACCAUGGAAUCAGUAUAAAAAAUUUGAGCUACUACUCUGAUUUUACUCAUACUGCUGCGAAGGAAUUACUAAUGGCUUGUCAUCAAUUUGAGUUAUGGAAUGGGAAAUUUGUGCAAGACAGACCAUGAUUAUCGCUAUCAUACAACACCAUUCUUAUAUUUCUUGGAUUACAAUGACCACCAUAAAUCUUAGUUUGCCUGAGGGUGGUCUUAUUUCUUGUUAUUGAAACAUGGAAGCAUAAAAUAUUUCCUUGAAUGCUACGAACCUGACUGGUUCGUGCCUGUGAUGCUAUGGCACUACCCGACCUCUUUCAACCACAAUAAGCAAUAGGUUUGGUUGGCCUCCUAUAGACAAAAUAAAUCAGGAUAUACAUACAGGACUGAAAUACAAAGGUUUGGUUCAUAUGACGCUUAUGCAAAUGGCAAACACACUGAUUUAUUUACUGGCGAAAAGAGUUUAGAAGAUACAUUUGCUUGUGGUGUGCAAAGACUUGGAGUAAGGAUUUGUACCAAUGACCUCGUCAAGACCUGCUACAAGUGUUUUCUAGCUGAAUCAAGUAAUCGUGUUUGGGGCAGAAUCUGCUCGUGUAAACCAAGCAGACACUACUACUACUACAAAUUAUGCCUUCAGCAUGAGCAAACUGAUGGAGCUUUCACUGAUCAUUUGUGAAAUCUAGCACCUCAGUGAUAAACCGCUCAUAUUCUAAUAUCAUCGAAUCUUUCCACAAAAACAACUAGAAUUUCGAAGCGAUGGCAAAUGUGAAGGAAGUGAACGCAUAUAUACCAACGGUGAUGUCGCAUCCGCCGAAGAAUUCGCCAUCGAUGUAGAGCUGCGGGAAGGUUGGCCAGCUGGAGUACUCCUUGAGCCCCUGCCGGAGCGCCUCGUUGGCGAGCACGUCGAGCGUCUCGAAGGGCACGUCCAGCGAGCGGAGGAUCUGCACGACGGUGUGGGAGAAUCCGCACUGCGGGAAGUCCUUGGUCCCCUUCAUGAAUAGCACCACCUUGUUCGACCCCACCACCUUGUCCAGCGUCGCCCGCAUGUCCGGGCUCAGCCCCGCGAGGCACCGCACCGACCGGCCGCGCGCUCGCACCGAGAGCUGCGCGGGCCGGUCGAGGGUGAGGCCCUGAACCGCCGGCGGAGCCCGCGGGAGCAAGGCGACCCUAGACGGCUGCCCCCGCGCGGGGAGGGGGAGCGGGACGUAGGCCCCGGCGAGAGGCCUCGAGGCCGUGGCGGAGGCGGCCAUCGCGGUGGCUGGCGUCUGGUGAGCGCGCGCCGGCGGCGACGGAUGGUACGGAGCCGUGGGUGCGGUGGUCUGGUGGACGACUCGGACGGAGCGGAAUUACUCGCGCGUGGCAGAUUAGUAAUUUCUUCUCCUUUUCUGUGGCCGUGAAGGCGUGAACAGCAAGAAGAAGAAUCGAUAGCCCACCGGCCCACGGACAGGGCCGCAAGUUGCGGACCGAAAAUCCAGCGGCCCAGCAACGUACGGUUGGUUAGAUCAAGAGCAGCGUGCCGCUCCCCCAUUCCCAGACGCCGCCUCCACCUUCUAAAGCCCUAAACCCAUCUCUCGCCCACCUCCUCUCCACUCCUCUGGUCCUCGCGCCGCCGCCGCCGCCGCCGCGACGCGACGCAAUGGCUUCCGCCGCGGUGCUCCGGAACGCCGGCUCCCGCCGCCUCUUCUCCUACCCCACCCUCCGCGCCGCCACAAUCUCGGCGCCCGCCGCGCUGCCCGAUGCGCCCGCGGCGGCGGCGCCGGCCCAGCCGCCGCCGAUGGCCGGGACCCUCUGGGCGAGGGCCAUGGCCACCUUCACGCGCACGUGAGUACUCCUCAGCUCAGAUCCGUUCGUGCCCGCUAGUUUCUCGGCUCAGAUUCACGUCAUUCGCGAUUCCUUUCUGUCGAUUCGUAGCAUUGGCUACCGUUUCCUCUUAGUUCCUGUGAUUCAUUUUCCAGUUCGGUUGAAUCUGUCACAGGAAGCCCCAUGUGAACGUCGGUACCAUUGGGCACGUCGAUCACGGCAAAACCACUCUCACUGCUGCUAUUACCAAGGUUGGAUGCGUUAGACACAGUGCUAGUUCAAUGCUUGAUUGGUUUCCAAACUUCUAGGAUGAUUCAACUGCGUUUGUUUCCUCGAUACAGGUUCUAGCUGAGGCGGGGAAAGCCAAAGCCAUCGCUUUUGACGAGAUUGACAAGGCUCCGGAGGAGAAGGCCAGAGGAAUCACAAUAUCAACGGUUGGGUCUUACCGCAUAUCUAAUUGUUUGGUCCAGAUGCAUUUCUUUUUUUUAAUUUAUCUUUAUUUGCAGCCCAAGUUGUAAUCCAUUAGUAUGUUUGUGUAGGCUCAUGUUGAGUAUGAGACGGCUAAAAGGCAUUAUGCUCAUGUGGAUUGCCCAGGACACGCUGAUUAUGUUAAGGUAAAUACCAGUUAUGUUUUAUCUCUCAAAUGGAACAGUUUGUGAUUCUGUGAAUGAAAGUUGUUUGCAUGUUAAAUUGAGAAUAUCCUAGGCUCCUAGCAAAUCAGGGACCUAGAGCUCUUUAUUAUUUACUCCCUCCGUUCCAAAUUGUAGGUCGUUUUAGCUUUUUUAGGUAUAAUGUAUGUCUAGGUGCAUAAUAAUAUCUAUGAACCUAGAAAAGUCAAAAUGACCGACAGUUUGGAACGGAGGGAGUAGUAAUUGUCCAACAUUCAUUGUCUUUUGUUUAUGACCCAAAGUAAUUUUCUGUGAAAAUGCCAGAAUAUGAUCACUGGAGCUGCUCAAAUGGAUGGUGGUAUUCUUGUCGUGUCAGCACCUGAUGGCCCGAUGCCACAAACAAAGGAGCAUAUUCUUCUUGCUAGACAGGUUUAGUUUCUCAUUUAAAUUGCUUUGCCAUGCUGUCUUUGCAGUUCUGAUCAUAUUAACUUGUGCUCUGCUUUUAGGUUGGUGUACCUUCACUUGUAUGCUUCUUAAACAAAGUUGAUGCUGUUGAUGAUCCAGAGUUACUUGAACUUGUAGAGAUGGAGCUUCGGGGUAUGCUAUCAUGCGUAUCUCUACAUUGUGUCCUUUUUUUCCAUCUUAUGGUUUUUUGUAUUCCAGUUCUGAGAUUGUCUUGUAUCCCAUCUUUUUCUGUAGAGCUCCUUACUUUCUACAAGUUUCCCGGUGAUGACAUUCCUAUCAUCCGUGGAUCAGCCUUGUCAGCCUUGCAAGGAACCAAUGAUGAGAUUGGAAAGAAUGCCAUCCUGAAAUUAAUGGAUGCAGUUGAUGAGUACAUCCCUGAUCCCGUGAGGCAGCUUGAUAAGCCUUUCUUGAUGCCGAUAGAAGAUGUUUUCUCUAUCCAGGUGAUUAGAUUUUUAUGAGUUAUGACUACUGCUGUAUGAACUAGAUAUGUAAUGCUUCUUCCACUAUUAUAUUAAUUGGCCACGUAUGAUCCCAAAUUAUCCUUAAACCUACUAGUGAAGUGUAUGGUAUUUAGGAUGGAAGCAAAAAAUUCAGUAAAUGCUGAUUGACAACACAAAUUCGAUAUUGCUAGACCCAUCAUGAAUAUGAACACUUUGCAAUGAAAAUUUCAUGACAACUACUUAUUGUUACUAUGGUGACCAAGUUGAUGUCCUAAACAACUUGUAUUAUUUUUUCAUAUGGACUGAGAUCAUUGCCUCAAUUGUUCAGUACUAGGGAUACACGGUACAUUCUGGUUUUGCAUCAUAUUUGUAAACUAUUUCAUCGGCAUAGCCAGAGUUUCAGUUGAUAUUGUUCCUUUUCAUUUUUAUAGUCAUAAAUCUCUUAUGGUGUAUAUCCAAUGUUAGGGUUAUUAAAUGGCCAGCUUUUUACCAAACUAUCUUAAAUGGGCAGCCUUUUACUAAACUAUCUUAGGCUGUUAUUUACAAUUAUAUGGCUUUACACUGCACAAGCUACUCGUGCUGUGGAGUUUCUGAUGUAUUUAUGAGUUGAAUAACCUUUGGCAUUAUUAGAUGGACUAUUGCAAUAUUGCUACAUUCAUCACCUAUGAUGCAAAUGGUGGUCAACAUCUUCAUAAAUUGAUGAGCAAUUAUUCUAAUAACUGACUUUUAUAUCAAUCUUGUUUGAUCUGUAGGGUCGUGGAACUGUUGUGACUGGGCGUGUUGAACAGGGAACAAUUAAAACUGGUGAAGAUGUUGAGAUCUUAGGUUUGACACAGGUGAGUUUGAAUAUGCCUUUUGAUUCCCUGAAAUCCAUUUGUGCUGAAUAUAAUGUCACACGGCCAAAAGAUUAAAUAUUUAUCCUACUGUAAGAAUUUUGAAGUCUGAAUACAGGUUCAUAAAGUUCAGUAUGUUAGUAGUUACUGGGACCAAGAUGUCUUGAGUUUUAGACCUGCCCAAGGCUUCCUUUUAGUCGACAUUUUGGUCCUGAUCGUGCUAAAUAUGGAGUGCCAACUGAGUAUGAAACAUUAGAACCCACUUUUUCGUUGACAGUUAAACUGUUUGGCUGACUUUAUAUUCUAGCCAAUAACUAAUCUCAACAACAUAAUGUUCUUCUGAUAUGUACCAAGAUGAUGCAACUUUAGGUGCAACACUUUGCAGAUUCUGAGCACACUAAUUUCCUAGUUUUCCUUCUGAAAUUUAGUACCCAGUAACCAGACACUUCGAUGUAUUCUGAUGAAAUACAUUCUUGGUCACAGAGUGGCCCAUUGAAGACUACUGUCACUGGUGUUGAGAUGUUCAAGAAGAUUCUGGAUCAUGGAGAGGUAAUGAUUCUGAAAGCAAGUCCUGCCAGGUUUUCAUUGGUUCAGAGUCUUAUACUUUCAUCUUCUUAUGUUCAGGCUGGUGACAAUGUUGGUCUUCUCCUUCGUGGUCUUAAGCGUGGUGAUGUCGAGCGUGGCCAGGUUAGAAUUUCUGACUUUAAAAUAAGCUAGAGAAGUAGCAUUGGGGAAUUCGUGUACAUGAUUGUCUGAUCAUCAAAUAUAUUUGCACGUCGUUUUAUAGUUUUAUAGGUAGCAUUUUGGUGUUGUUUCCGGAACUUGUGUUUCUCCAGUUUUAAAAUUGCUGAUUCCUCUUCUGUUGAUCUCGUCUACUUUUUCAGGUGGUGUGCAAGCCUGGUACUCUAAAGACAUGCACAAAGUUUGAGGCAGAAAUAUACGCCCUGACAAAGGACGAAGGUGGUCGGCACACAGCUUUCAUGUCAAAUUACAGUCCACAGUUCUACUUCAGGACUGCUGAUGUCACUGGUAAAAUUGAGUUGCUUGGUGAGACAAAGAUGGUUUUGCCCGGCGACAAUGUGACCGCAAAUUUCGAGUUGAUAUCACCUGUUCCUCUUGAACCAGGUAGGAAUCAUGUUCUUAAUGCUUUCAAGAUUAGUUCUUAUAGUACAAGUGUAGGUCGAGAUCAAGCCCGAUUAGUUGAUCAUGAGGCAUGAGGCAAAAGAGUGAGCAUGAUGUUUUUGUUUUGAUGCGAUGCAGGGCAAAGAUUUGCACUGAGGGAAGGAGGGAGAACUGUUGGUGCCGGAGUUGUCUCCAAAGUUAUUAGCUGAUCACUUUGUUUCCCGUAGCGAUUUAGCAAACGAAUGAAUGUUGAUAUAUGUCCGACCGGGUUAGAAAACGAGAGCAAAGGAACCGGUUUCCAUUUUUCUUGGAAUGCAUGAGCACAAAGGCAGGGCUGGCUGGCCUGGCCACCAUUCUGGACAGUCGCUUUUGUUUCCUUGUUGAGGUGGUGCUUGUAUAACACCGCAGUUAGUUUGGUUAACACGCAUGUUGCGCACAACUCAAGUGAUUGAAUAAGACAGUCCCAUCAUAAGCAUAUUUACCGGUCAUUUUGUGUGCCUAUUUGCUCUGUCCGUAUUUGUAAUGUUUGGUGUCGAUGUAUCAAUUAGUGGUUGUCUCGUAAUCUCAAGUUUCUCGUCAAAGUUUGAAACCAGCUUCGUGUCGUCAGAAAUCAAGUGCUGCUGUGGAGCAGGAAUACGUACGUAGCCUCUACAUUCUCGUGUCGCAGCCUCUGAUUUUGCCAACCAUUUCAUUGGGCCAUGGCAGGCCAGGUCCACAAGAAGAAAGAGAGCCUGCAUCGGCCGGCCCUUUUGUUUUGGGCUCGGCAUUCACAGGUGCUCUCGGCUUUGGAAUAGCGAGCGCUCUUGGCUUGUGUUGAGUUCACACCAAACCAGACCAGCCGCCGAUCAAAAUUCGAUUCCACCUCCGACUCCGACUCCAUUGAUCGCUCGGUCUCCUACAGGAAGAGGAGGAGGAGGAGUAUAGUACCAACAAGACGAUUCCAUAUCCUCCCCUACCGUGGCAUCGCUCAAUCAAUCCCACCCAAAAACCCUAGCAAACCAGGAGCUAGCGGCGGCGGAGGACAAGCAGAUCGACCAGCAAUGCCGCCACCGCAGCUCCCCUCCGAUCGCGCCAGGCCCAGGCCCAGGCCCGGCGAGAGCUCCGUCCCCGCCGUCAAGAGGGCGCCGCCUGCUUCUCUCUCCUCCUGCUCCGCCGCCGCCUCGGCCAAGAAGAUCGCGCGCCCGGCAUCCGCACCCGACCUCACGGCGCUCUCCGCCGCCAGGCCUUCCGCCAAGCUCGCCGCGUCGCCGCCAGACAGGAAGCCGGUCCGCCCGACGCCGCCGCAGCAGCAGCAGCAUCGCGGCCAGAUGGGCGCCGCCAGGCCGCGCCCGCCCUCGACGCCGGCCAAGAACGGCGCUCCGCAGCCGCGCGGCCCGUUCACGCCCUCCCUAAGCCGACCGGCGCCGUCCGUCCCGCGCCGGCAGGCCCCGCAGACGUCGUCCGUCCCCGGGAGGCCGGCGUCGUUCAUGGCGCCGCGCGGCGCCCAGACCGUCCGCCCCACGCGCCGCCUGGCGCCCGGGACCGCCGUCUACGUGCGCACCGCGUUCAGGCCGCGGAACAUCAACUGCCGCAUCCUGCUCUGGCUCCCGGCGCGGGUCGUCUCCGCCUCCGACGCCUACCACCUCUCCGUCAAGUACGCCGCCGGCCUCAACGACAUGUUCGCCGGCAAGAUCGUCAGCAAGCCCGUCGACCACGUGCGCGUGGCGCCACACCGCACCGCCGCCGCCAAGGCCGAGCCAAGGAAGACGGCAUUGUCACGACAAUGAGCCGUUUCAACCUUCCCCCCUUCAUCUAUCCAUGGGAGCGGCGCAGAGCUGCAUGACGACGACGAUCAAUCAGCCUAGCUCCCUGUACAUAUGUUCGUUGAUCUCGUGCUGAUUAGCCUCUGAAAUCAGGUUAAUUUUGCUUGAUUGGUAGAAAUUCUACUGCUUCUGGAGAGAAACAGAUUGAUUUGUAACGAAAUAGGCCCUAAAAUUUCUCUCGAGUGGCGCGCGGCUACGUGCUAUGGAAGACGGUCGCGCCCGAGAUCAUCGACCUCCAACUGUUUUGUCAACCCCUGAGCCAGCCGCUCGAAUAAUAUCGGACAUGGCAUGUCCGUUCAAUCACCGAUACUUAUUAAGGCGACAAUCAGUUUGGUAGGGCUCCAACUCCUUCUAAAAGGAACCGGAGCUAGAGGCCGACUUCUCUAGGUGUGGAGUAGUUUUUUACCAAACUGUUUUGUAGGACAUCAACUAGAGCCGCAAGAGAAGCCAAAAUUGAAGCCCUGCCAAAUUAGCCCUAAGCUCUACCUCAACGGUUUCUAUCGUUAGUGGCCAACUAGGAUUCAAUAACAACAAGGGAGUAUAUUCCAUUAUGUUGCAUCUACCGCAGAUUGAGUUCACCGAACAAUAUUAGUGCAAAUGAAGACUGAAACAUGAUUUCAAUAUUAUCAAACACCUCUGUGGAUAAAAUACAAUCGAGGGGUAAUUUCAAGCCCAGCAACUUCACAUGAAUCGUCAAGCAGGUAGGUUUUCCGGACUUGUAUACACACACAAGGGCGGAUGAUGGGCCCAGGCCAUUUGUAAAAAAAAAGGAGAUACAGCUAUUCGGCCCAGUCCAACUAGAAGUGGCUGGGGAUCUGAAAAAGGAACUAGUCAGAGGCCCAGCCCAACCCACGUAAUUUUUCCGGCCGGCUCCUGCAUCGCGCAAGUCGAGUCGCAGCCAGCCGUCCCCGUUACGCAGCGGCCGGACCGGAGGGGAGGAGGCAGAAGAGAACCCCGUGUUCCCCACCUCGUCAAGCUCCCAAUCCAUCCCUCUCUCCUCCGACGAUUCGUGCUCGUCCAAUUCUGGUGGGUGGUGGUAGACGGCCGACGACGAGGUGGGCCCUCCUCCUCUUCCUGCUCCUGCUCCGAUUUCCUCUCUCGGAUUGAGGCAUGGUGGUGGCUGGAUUAGGGUUUCCGGUUCGGGGUCGUCGGGGGAGGGCUCCAUGGCCGGCGGGCUUAGACUGUCUAGCGGCGGUGCGGAUCGAGGGUGGAGAGGCGAGGCGGCGUGGGCGCCGCGGGCGGCGGACGGGGUAGGGCCGACGGCGGCGGGCGAGCGGCUUCCUCAGUUAGCGAAUUAGCAGUUCAUUCCCUUGACUAGUAUACACGAUUAUGGUUGAUUUGUUCCAUAGGACUUAGGUCAAACAGAAUAUCAAUUUAUAUCCUUUCAUUCACUGACCUACAUUUUUUCAUUUAGCUUGUAUAUAAAGGAGAAUGACGAACUGCAUGGUUUGUUCCGAGGGCUGGUUGAAUUGAUUCCUGGCUAUCAUCUUCUACAAUAUAUUGGUGCUACACACUUUACUUGACUGAAACUACUUAGUGAUUCUAGGCCUAUUUAUAAUUUUGAAGAGGGUUGUGAAAACUGUUGUUUUUGUUUAUCAGUGCCAUUUCAUGAAAAAAAAAAUGUUUGGUUUUGAAACUUCCACUGUUUCAAACAAAAGUUAUCUAACGAAAGCAUGCAUUUAAGGUCCUACGGUCAAUUAGACGUGAUGUGGCAUAUGUGGCAUCGAAUAGAGGUGCAUUUGGAAGCAAUUUGAAUAAAAUGAAGGAUUCCUUUAACUUUCAGAUUUUUUUUUUGCUUUAAUUGUGAAUAGUGGAGUGUGAAAAGUGACACAAGUGCCUAUGAUUCUUUGUGAUUCUUCCAGUAUAGCUUAAAUUCAUUAAUGCAAAACCUUUCAUGUAACAGUUAGUGCUACAUUCUGCGUGUUUACCAGUGAUUAGUGAUAUUUUUGGUUUCAAGACUGACUUAUCGACUUCAUAGUCUAGUAUAUAUAUACUAUUGUGCUGCGGUUCAACUGAUAGAUGCUCCUGAGUGCAGGAUGAAUUCUAAGCGUAGGAGAAGUCAUAGUCCAGUUGAAUACAAGGAAGGUCGUGAUAAAGAUUAUGAGACUUCUGGAAGGAAGGAUAACUCAAGAGAUCUAGAAGAGUCAAAUGAUACUAGAUUAGGCAGAGGUCAUGAAUCGGGUAGGCACACUGAUAGGCACUCCUAUGGUACAUCACGUGAAUCUAAGAGGCAUGAUGACCAUAGGAGGUACCAUGAUAAGUACAGUGAUGAUUAUGGUAGGAGCCAUCCAAGAUCCUCUCGGUCAGAUCGCGAAUCAAGGGCUGAUACUUAUUAUGAUCGCUCAAAGCGUGAUAACACAUCUGGUAGAUCACGUGGUGACCAGCGAGAUGUUGACAGUAGGUAUGGAGAGAAAUCUGUCAACCGAGAUCAGAGGAGUAUAAAUGAAAGAAAGCAAGACUCCCCUCAUGCCUAUCAAAGGAAUGAUGUUGGAGAAUACAACAAAUAUACAGAUGCAAGAAAGCAAGAGUCCAGAGGUUCUGGAGACGACAGAGAUCAUCGUAGGGUUGUUGAUAAGAACAAAGAAACCAUCAAGGAGGAGGAAGUCCUAAAGAAGAGAAAUGGAAAGGAAAUUGAGAAAGAAACUUUGGUGGAAACUAGGGAGAAGAGAAGAAGUCUAUUCAGUUCUGCUGGGCCAAAUGUUGAUAUCGCAGGGGGUUAGUUGAUUUUUUAUUCCUGUACUUUCUUGUUGGUGCAUAAUUUUCUAUAUCCAGUCUCAGAGUAAAGUUAUGAAUUUGACAGAUGUCAAACCAUCCUCAGUCACAAAUGAAGCCUUGGAUAACUCUGCUGCCACCUUAGAUGAUGGUGUGAAUGCAGCUAAAGUUGCAGCUAUGAAAGCUGCCGAAUUAGGUAACCAUGAUCAUCAUGUUUCAACAAUUUGUACAUUCCUACUUACCUCCAAGACUUUUAUUCCCCUUAGCUGAUGGAUUUUUCUUUUGUGCUUGUCUUUACAUUGGCGCGUUCAGCUAUCAACAAUGCUGCUUGGUAUAAACAAAAGGGAAAAUUGUAUUUGUUGAUUUUGUUGGGCUGAACAUUGCACUGAGUGCUGACAAUUGAUAACACAAGAUACUAAUUUUCCAUACUUCCAUGAUGGCAUCCAGUGACAUGGCCAUGAUAGUGAUCUCUUCCCUGACGAUUUGAGUAGUAGCUUACAUCAUUGACCAUCCCUUUGUGUUUUAUGGCAGUGAAUAGGAACAUUGCAGCAUUUGGUGCUGGAACUGGGCGCCUAUCCACUGAUCAGAAGAAAAAACUUCUUUGGGGCAACAAAAAGAGCAGUCCCUCAGAGGAGGUAACCUUCCAGCGAAUGAUGAUAUUAUUUGUUUUAAGUUUUGAUUUCAUUCAGUUUGUUAUAGAAAAGUAAUCGCUUGUUGAUUCAUCAUUUGUUUUUGUCCCUGAUGCUACAGACUAGUAAUCGCUGGGACUUAAAUUUGUUUUCUGAUCGUGAGCGCCAAGAGAAAUUCAACAAACUCAUGGUAAUUCCUGCUUCAAGCUCUAUUUUGAAUAUUUCUGUCCUUCCAAAUUUAUUAUCCUCCAUAUCAGUAAAACAUAUACCUCAUUACUCUGCGUUGCACUAACACCGUUUUAGAGUCUGAGGAUGCCUUGGUGGCUAUGGCCUAUCACAGGGUGUGAAGAGCAGUGCCCCAGUUCAGGAGAGCAAGGUCGAGAACAAGGACGGGAGCUCAGCCGAAGCCAAGAAGCUGGAGGAGCUCGAUACCAACCUGGAGAAGCAUUACAUAGCUGGACUCCGCCGGAGAGAUGGCAGGACCGUUGGUCUUGGCCUCUAGGGAACUCUGCUUGCAAAUGCUACGGUAUCGGAAAAUUCAGGAGCCUGCUAUGUACAAUCUUCAGUGGCUUGUUUAUUCUUGCAUGCAGACGGUUAACUAAGAGUUUUAUUUACCUGUGUUACUGUGAUAACUUAUUAUUCUGGAGGACUGGUUCACUGGUAUGUUUGCUUAUUAUUGAUCACAAGCUCCCGCAGCUAUUUUUUACUGCAAAUACUGUUUUGUGUGGCCCACAGCAUGACGAGUCUAGCUUUCAUCGUGGACUCUAUUUUGUAAGCUUUGCAUGUCAGCUUCACAAGUCUUACAAGUUACAACCAAUGCUUCUGUUUUGCUCCGUGCCGUGCCGUGCCGAAACCACCACCGAGUCAUGUAAUCUUUGAAUAGCAGAGAUUUAUUUAUAUGGCACUUUGUUUUGCUCAUGAGUGCAGCAUUUGCGGCUUUUCUGCUUUCAUCUCCACCAAUCUUGGUUGAAUCUUCCUGUUUGUUCGUUUAUUGGAUCAUCAGUUGGUUAUCGAUGCAACAGUUUGUCUUAUAUCCCGACAAAGCGGCAUGAUGCUCAAUGCACCACCAUUGUGCUUGAGUUUUGACUAUUUUUUUCACUUAUCGUGUAACUAGCAAACAAAGUCACUUGUACAGUUGCGAAUGAUUGUUUUGAACAUCAGUUUAUCACUACAUGUACACUAUUUGCUGAUGCCUGUGGCGGCACAGCUAAAGCUUUAGGAUGACAUCCACUGCCCAGUAAUCUCAGCUGCUUUAACAAAUCGAAAUGGUAUCUUGCAACAGCGAGAAACAAGAGCUUGAAGAGAUAAAUCUGAAAACCACUAAGCAGAGUUGCAGAAUCACUGCAAAGGGUUACCUCAGAUAGACAACAGAAACAUUAUAAAGUGACCACGCAAAAUCUGGUGCAGUGGUGCUCAUGUAUAUAGUCAACCAACCACAAACGUAAUCAUCAAAAACCAGCAAAAUGGAUUCCAUGGCAUCUCAACAUGCAUAACUUUAGGUAAAGCUUGGAGAAACUAAAAGUUUCCGACUGCAAAUACAAAGAGUGGCUGGCCUAAGUGGGGGUUGCAAAAGAGUGCCAUCACAAGGAAACCAUGACCUCACAUUUCACUAUUUGGAGUCCUAUGAUCAGGCUUUUGCCUCCUGAGCUACUUCCUCAAAAGUCUCUCCUGGAACAAGCUCUGGAACAUCAUCAUCGUUAUUUUCCUUGGCCUGUGCCGUGGCACCAGCAGCAACCGCUUGCUUCUCAAUCUCUUCAGCAAUCCUCCUCAGGUGCUCCAUGUUGUCAGGACCUGGAAGAACAAAUCAAAUCAGGCAUUAGCUUCUCUUUCAUAGCCUUUCUAACCUGGCUGAGCUACUGUUUUAUUUCCUUCUUGUGACUUCUAUGUUCCAAACUAAACAGCUGGGGGACAACAUGUAUACUCAACAAGUGCUAGCCCGAAAGCUAACAGACAACAAAAGGAACAUCCAUAAGAGUAAACAUUCUUUCCCGUGGCCAGUAGUGCUAACUGUAGGGAAAGGACAACACACGACAAAACAUGAAAUAAAGCAGCAUAGAAACAGAUAACGCUGACAAGAUUAGAAAAAGGUCAAAUACAAGUUAUCCAUGUUACAAGGAAAGCAAUUUAUUGGAUAUAGACAUUCAGGUGUGGAGUGUAACAUACCCAAUUGGUUAAUGAUCCCAGGCAGAACAUCUUGUAGCUCUGUCAGAUUACACAAUAAACAACAAUUUUAGCAAGUCAACAUCACCGAGCCUUUUCUAUAUAGCAGAUGAAACACAAGUCAAAUGCUUAAAACCAUCUUUAAACCAUGUAAGCAUCUUCAAAACCACACCUAACAGGAGCAGAACGCACCGAGAUAGUGACUGGAUGAAUAAAAAUAUGCUCUUAAAAUAAACUAAAGAUAGUGCUAAAAUUACAGAGAUCCUCGCAGGUGCUUGAUGCAAUGAGAUUAUGCCUAUCACUUCUGAUGGUGUGGUAAAAAUAAAAACGCUGGCUCAAUUGUAUUCAGGCUAAUCAAGUGUGGAUGUGUGCAGGUGUAAAAACUAAAAUGGAUUUUGGAUUCUCAACUUAGCUAGGCAUCUAAUGUGACUGUUUCUCUUGCACAAUCCAUCACAAGGGAAGAACAUCCACUUAUCUAAAAAGAUAUCAUUGCUCUGGGUGUGAUUAAAUGACUGUUCAAUAAAAUUUAACAGAGGGUGAGCAUUACUUUUCGUCUGUGGAGAUCCACUGACCACCCAUGUGUUUGCGGCGAUGGAAGCUUGCACUGCAUUAUUAGGGGAUAAGGAAACAUCAGACAAACGAGUCAGUAACACCAUGCAUUCCCCAUUUCAACAUGUAACAGAACAGCAGCAGCAACAUAGAAGGGACAGCAGACCUUUGGGAUUCAAGAACUGGAUGACGAGAUCGUCCUUGAAGAUGUUGACCUCCUCGAUUGCAGGGAUGGUGUUGACCCCUACUCUCUUGAGCGUGCUCUGGAGCCUCUUGUCGUCCGUGGUGGCCGUCUUGUGGACAGCCUUCUUCUUCCUGAAGAAAAGCUCAAGUUUUUCAGCCAUCGGCAUCGCCGCUGAUGAACAACGCACAAGUCAAGUCGUGCGAGUCAGUCAAGAGCAGCUAGCUACCUGCGCACGGUGCCCUUGCCGCCGGUGCGGACGGCGCCGGCCAUCUUCAUGAGCCUCUCCUUGUUCAUCUGCGCGACCAACAACCGAUCAGCCCAACGCCGCAGCAAGCACGGAUCUAUCGCGGGAGCGAAUCGGUUCCACUAAGCCCAGCAAUCGGGGUGGACUGGACUGAUCUCUAAAUUCUAAACCGCUCGCAAGAGAAAACCACGGCGAUUUGCCGAUUGGGUACGAUGACGUCGGAGCGAAGAGUGGGAGAAGAAGCACUGACCUUGGCGGCGGAGGGCGGUGAGGACGCGUGAGCAGGGAGGGGCGGGGGAGGGGAUUGGAAGAGGCGGCGGCGCAGGAUGGGCGCAGGUUUUGGGGGAGGAUUAUAGGGUUUCCAGUUUUACACGUAGGACCCUGGGUUUUCCGUGUUUUAUGUACGUGUGCGCAGGCAGGUUCCGCUGGGCCGGCCCACUCAGAAACCUCGGGGCUCAUUUCGUUCGAUGCGCGCAAAAGCAGGUUCCGUAGUGAUGGGCUAGUAGUGGGCUGGACGAAGAGCUCAAAGAAAGCUCGAUGGUGUCUCUGCACUUAGCAAUAAUCACACACACAUUCUCUUGCUACUUUACACGAUCAGACUAAGCACAUCCUCAACACCAUAUCAUAUCGACAUGGAAGUGGCAUCAAUCACACACAAGCACUACAGUACAUGUAGCUGUUGACGACAAUGGAGCACAAGCAACUCUGAACCAACCAACCUUGCUUUAUUUAUGCAUGUAUAUGUAUGUAUGUUAAUCGAUCAUGAGGUAGCUAGGAUGGAAGCAAUGCAAGUAGCAGAUGAUAUCCAUCAGGCGGCGUUGACUGCGAUCUUCAUGCCGGACUGGCAGUGCCCGGGGAUGCUGCAGAUGAAGUAGUUGCUGCCGCGGGCGAGGGUGACGCGGUCGUUGCCGGACGUGUACGUCCUGGCGCCCCGGGGAGCGGCGCAGCCCUUGUACCCCGCCGCGUUCACCGACGCCACGUUGUGCGCCGACGAGUCGUACUUGAACACUGCAUACGCAUCGUGCAUCAGAAUCGAUUGUAUUUGUUGCUCGAACGAACAGGUAUUAGGUAGGGUACCUAGGACGUCCCCGGCCUUGAAGCGCUUGCCGUUGGUCCAGGUGUUGGAGUUGAAGGUCCAUCCGCCGCGGUCGCCGACGGUGAACACGGCCGACUCGGCCACCUGGGCCUGAAGGAGCACGCAGAGGAGCAGCGCCGCCGCCGCAAGGGCCACCACAGAGCCGCCACUGCCUCUUCCCUGCGCCAUUGCUGCUCGAUCUCCCUCGCACUGAACCACUAGCAGCUGCUUGUUACCUACUCACCUCGAUCACCUGAAUAGUAGCUGCUCUCAGACACAGAUCACACACAGAACAAUUGCUGAUAUAUAGAGCAAUGCAGGAGCAAAGAAAGUGGAGUGGUUGUUGGCAGUGGCCGCCGGGGGGUCCUCUCGUUUUAUAGAGCAAUGCAGGAGCAAAGAAGUGGAGCGCGUGAAGGUAAGUAGGUCCCGCGGGGGAUAUGCAGAAACCAACGACCCACAACAGGGCCGGCCGGCAGUGAGUGGAUGGAGAUGAAAUGAAAUGAAAGACGAGCGGAUCAUUCAGGACACGUUUAAUUUCUUUGGAGGAUGCCCGAUCGACGAGACGACGUCAAGCAAGCAGCUAGUGUGGUGUGGGAAACGUACGUAAAAGCCAACAGCAAGCAUGUAAUUGAUGUAGUAUACAAAUCAAAGGAAUAUAUUGAACAUCAACAGCUUGUUUGGCACACUGUUUACUACUGGCUCUGAUUGCUACCGUACAUCUAUCGGCGUGCGAAUUGAAGCUAGCUGCUUAUACUGUUCACAUCCAGGAGCUAGUACAAAGCAACACGUACGUCGCCUUGACGUCAAAGCUAGCUAGUGCACACUUGUUUCGCUCCAAGCUAGCUAGUGCAUUUCCUAUUUUAGUCAGUUGCUGGGUCGCUGCUCCCAACAGCAAGUCAGCAUUCACCAACACCACCCAUGAGCAUGAAUGAAGUCUUCUCUUCAACUGCAUGCGGCGCACAAAGUCAAUGUGCUUUUCAAUAUUUUUUUAAUUACCUCUCAAUGAAAAAAAAUGCCAAGGCACCGUCGUGAUUUUUAUUUUAAAAUUAAGGAUAAAGAAUCCGGCCCCAGCUAUCAAAGUUCGAAAGCCUACAGCCAAUGUGCUUUGCAAUAUAAUGUUUCCACGAGGUUGGAAAAACUCUUACAGCCUCAUUGGAUUUCGUCGCGCAUUCGGUCGUGCUGCGUCCGGCCUCCGUCCACUCGUCAUCAUCGCUUGUGCUUUUCAAUAUAAUGUUUCCACCGGGUUGGAAAAACUUUUACAGCCUUAUUGGAUUUCGUCGCGCAUUCGGCCUCCGUCCACUCGUCUAGGAACGUAACGUACAUGGCGUAGUUUGGAGCUAUUACAUGCUCCCUCCCAUCCGUCCUCAAUUACUAUUAAAGUGUUCGUUGUGACUUUCUAGAUACAUAAUAAAAUUUACUAUGAUCUAUAUAUGUCUAGACAUGUAGCAAAAAGCUAUGUACCUGGAAAAAACUAAAACAAAUAAUAAUUUGAGACGGAUGAAGUACCAUGCCUACUAACCACCAUGGUUGCCAUUCAUCGAUGUUUAUGCAUGGCCUAGUUUGGAGCUAUUACGUUGGACCCAAUAGCAUGGAUUUAACAGCAUUUCUACCAGCACCCCCAGAAUCCCAAAUACAUGUACGAGAUGCAUUCUGGGUGCCCCCCUUUUGCACCACACCACUAACAAUAGUGCUCCCUGAUGCGUGCUACAGCACAAGCUUAGCUUACUACAGUAGUGCUCGGCGUGCGCAUUUGCAUGCUUUUCCCUCCUAGCUAUAAUAAUUUAUGUCCCUCUUUGUAAAGAAGAAAGAAAUAUAAUUUUUUAUUUACACUAGUGGAGAGCCCCCAACAACCUUCUUUUCUGACUUUUGAGCCCAAUUGUGGCCAGACGGCCCAACCUUCCUUGGUUGUUGGAGAGGUAGGUCCACUUCAGUUUCUUGGUAUUGGCCUUGGUGUUGGAAAAACUUUUACAGCCUUGGACUUGAGAUUUCACCGCACGUUACUCAUACAAGAGGCUCCUCACCGCAACAUAUAACCUCUUCCAUUCUUUGUAUUACAGUCAUAGUCCAUUACACUGGUAUUACAUGUGUUAAACAAGCUGCAACAGCAUCGUACACCACAAGUCUCUAUGUGACAGCUUCGGGAGCUGAGUUGCAGUAAGGAGUGUGCAAGCAAAUGAAUCUAGUUGACAUCAAGCACACGGAGGCGAAGCCGAUACCUAUCAGCAACCCCGCGAUGCUCUUCCGCAUGUCCAACCGCAAAGACCGCCUGAAAACGCGGCCAAAGCUGGGGAUCAGAGCCCCGCAUGCUAUCACCAUCCAGUAGUCGAGUCCAUCGUAGUCGAUCCUCGCAAGGAUCGCGCUGAUGGCGGCGCUAGGCCCUGCAAACCCGGUCAGAGCAGCGGCUGCCAGGGCUCCGCGCCAGCUAUCUGUGGCGCCAUACACACAGCUGGCCACAGCAGCACCUCGUGGCAGGCCAUGGAGGGAGGCUGGAAGAACCAUGUAACGGCCAAGGCCGUAAGCCUUGCGAGCCGCGACACCAAGUACAAGUCCUUCGGCAUAUGCAUGAAGGAAUACAGCACCGCAGGCAAGGAGCGAUUGCAGUGUGAGGACACUAAGAGAGAAGCCGGAGGAUGAUGUAAUGACGUUAACGGAGGAUCUUUUGCGAUUAACCACCCUAAGGAUGCUUGAUGUGGCAGCAUGGUAGACAAGGGAACCACCAAUGAUGAGAAAGAGGGUGGUAAAGAGACCCAUUUUUGAGGACAUUAGAAGCUGUACAGGUCUCCAUGCCGCAAGACGGAAAGCAAUGCCAGAUGCCACACCAGUAAGCAGCGGGUGUGGCAUGCUGAAGGCAAGAGAGAAUGUGACAAGUAUAAUUCCUCCGAUAAGUGGACCUAGUCCAAAUACAAGCGAUACCAAGAAACCCGAUGCAUCCUCUGAGCUGCAAGUUAAAUCAAUAACACUAGCUGAGACCUGAGAGUUAACUUUUACACACCUACAUCACGAAAAUGUUAAUAGCAAACUUACUUGUUGCCAUCAGUAAAUCCCAGAAGCACAGCACUUAAUGUUUCCAUGAAAGCAACAGCAAGUGUUCCAGCAGAAGCAACUUGUGAUGGAGUCGCUUCCUGCACAUAACAGAGAAAAUGAAAAAACUGCUUUCUCAGGGCAUAAAAAUAAAACAGCAGCUUCAGUCCUUCAAGGUUUUUCUUAACAGUCAGGUGAAUAGGAUUCUCACCUUAAAAGCAUCAGGAAGAACCUCUGCUAUAACAAUCCAUAUCAUGCAUCCUGCAGCAAAACCAGUACAAAAGGGGAGCACCUUCUGGAAUGCGUCGGCACAAAGGAAAGCAGGAACAGCAACAACUGGCUGGAUUUACAAAUGAAAACAAAGCAGCAUCAGAGCAAAAUCAAAGAAUGUUUAUCACAAGAAGUGUAACUUGAAACUGAAGCGGUUGCAUAUAAACUAUAAAGUGAUGAAUAAUAUUGUGUUCACAACAUAAUACUGAGAGAAAGCUGAACUUGGCCAUGUUUAAGCAAGUAAAAGAAGGAGACAGUUGUGGUUCUCACUGGCCUCAGAAUGUCAAUGAUAACUAGCUCCUGCUAGCCACAAAUAAUUAUAUAGGUCAAAAACUCAAAAUAAGAAAAGAGACAGUAAUAUCUGAUGAUUGCUAAUACUAUAUAAUACAAAGAUUACUAACACUAUAAUACAUAGCUCUGUUACAAGUUUCUUAGUAUUAACACUUAUCUCACAGAAUACUACUGUUAGUUAUCAGUUCAUCAGCUUGAAAAACUCUUUCGAGCGGCACAUAUGGUCAGCACACGACAGUUUCUACAAAACCAAAGGAACUAUAGGAUUACUGUAAAGGAUGUGAUUUCGAUGAAACACCCAGGGUUGGAGCAUAAAACAUAUCAUGUGUGGCCUUUAAGUACUAAUACUAUUCAAUCAGCAUCCGAAGUUCCAAACAAAGGUGCAUGUACAAUUCGCAAGGGAUACAAUUUUGGUCCAGUUGUUCCACCAAACCCUGCCCCUGAGGUCCAGAACAAGGUACAUUUUUCUUGGGAGCUCAAGACCUUGCUUGUACUGAUUCACUAUCACCCACCAGUUACCUUUGUUGCCAAUACCAAAUCAUGUUAGUGCUUAUUCAUGUGAUUCACUCUAUGAUUCAGUUUGGUCACUUAAUUAGAAUAACUAGAGAAGUCCAUAAACACAGACAGAGACAAAUAUGAGGGAAAAAGAGAGCAAAAUAGUUAGUUCAGUCAGGGCACAAAACAAAGAUUCAUUCUGUUGCUUAUAGUUACAAGAUAACUAAAAAGUUGGUAUAUUUUUCAUUACUCACUCAAGAAUAAAGACAACAAAUUUAUAGGAACGGUAAAGAUUUCAACUGAAAAAAUGAUACCUGUGGUAAAGAUGUUAUUAUACUCCAUAUCAUUGCCUUUUGGGGGGAGACACCCCUAGAUGACAGUACCAUGCUUACAGCCAAGCCUUCUGGUAUGUUGUGCACUGCUAUAGCUAUAGUAACUAGAAGACCCUGAGAAAAUCCUUUUGAGCCAGCAAAGGAAACACCGACACCAGAGCCUUCCCCAAAAGAAUGGAGAGUCAUUAUUCCCACAACAAGGAUAACUUUACUUGCAUCGGCACCUUUUAUAUCCAGCAUGCUUACUUCUCCAUAUUGCUCAAGAAACUGUGCGCAAGGAAACAGUAUAAAGGAAAUAUUAUUAAAGAUGAAUAUACCAAGAACAAUGGAAGGGGGUUAUCUUGAUUGUUCCAAAAACACAAUUAUCAAUUGAACUCAAUAUGAUGAUGUAUACACUCAACAAGUAAGUGCAAAGUGGAAUGCAGACUGAUCUAGUGCAGUCAUCCAUUGAUGUUCAAGUUUUAGGUGGCCUACGCAAUAUUCUUAUCAGCAUACAAAUGAGGGUAAGCAUGUGAUGGGUUCACAUGAGCCCAUUCGAUUUGUUCAGUUCUUCCAUUGAAUUGCACUUUAUUCAAUUGUUUGGACCAACAACUAUUGACUCUGGCAAUUUUUUGGGUCCAAGAUUACUCUAAGUACAUGUAUAACUGCUUAAGCACCAUUAUGUUGACAUUUGAAGCCUUUCAGACAUGAAAUGAAGCUUUUGUUUAGCUACAGGUAACAGAUUUUGAGCUAUAGCCUUUUUGGGUAAAAUCUAAGCUACCUAGCAUGUAUCAAUCCUGAAUUAUGUUCUUGCUUUGGGAAGUGCAUCAUAGGUACCAUAUAAAUGAACCUAAUAUUGCAUAGAUUUCUACAGUAAUAACAAAUUGUUCAUUCAAAUCGAAAGCAAUUGAAAUGUGGCAUUGAUCUGAAAGGUGAAGAGCAGGAAUCGUAAAGUACCUUCUUGCAAAGCCAAAUAAAUAUUCCUCCGCUCAAAAUUCCGAAAACAACCCAGCUCCCACUGCCAUAGACCUGCCCUUCCUGCACGAGGUCAAAGCUUGCAGCCAGCAUCACCCCGGCCGCUAGCCCAUUGCAAAUGCCCGCCCACUGAGCUUCCAGCUCCAUGAAGAAGAAGGGCACUGCUCCCAACCCAGUCGCCACAGCCAUGACGAGCGUAGACCAUGCAACCGUCGACACUGACACCCUCCCCACCUUAGCACCAUCCUGCCUCCCUGUGCCCUCCAGCUCCCUAUGGGGCGCCUCCUGCACUAAACGCACAUUGCCGGCCUCGGUCUCGGCGACGGCCGACACGUCCCGGACUACUAGGACGAAGAACAGGCACAAUAGGAUUGCUCCAGCUCUUCUGUCCAUGGUUAUUCAGCGCACCUGGUUAUUUCCACACCCCCUGACUUUGCUUGUCAGGGUAGCGUGGGCAGGAGGCCUGCUGCUCAAAGAAGCAAGGGGCUGUUACAACAUCCUCAUUGUCUUGUUCAGCAGCACAACAUAAUGAUCACAGCUUUCGCGUGGAACUGGGAAGAUGCUCCAACCCUGCCGCACAAAGAAGGCACAUUUAGCACGGUUCACGAAUCGAGCAGCGCAAGCAUGGGGAUUCAGUUGAGAUCCCAGCAGUCUGGUCAAUAAAAAGCUUGGCAUUACUGCUCCAACAAGAAGCAGCAAACGACAGGAAUCGCAACAGACUGAAGGAAGAGACUGGGGGUCAAAAGGUAGAAAGAUUUGGAUCUGACUGCUGCUCAUAGCAAAAGAAAACGAACUCCCAGGACAAUCCAUCCAAGCAAAGCCAGAGCGCCCUUACCAGCAACAGGAGGAGGGAGGGAUCGACCCCCUCCCGCGCCAGCAGAAGCGAUGCCGAGGGCGCCAGGCGCGGAUGGAAGAAUUGGAGGCUCGGAGGCGCGGCCAGGCGACGAGAAUACUGCCGGCGAGGCGGAUUCAGGGCGGCGGCGCACGCGGAUUUGGGGGGUAAUGGAAACCGGCGACCCCGGGGGGAGGCGGUCACCGGUGAGGCGGUGACGGAGGAUCAGAUGCGCCGCGCACGUGGUGAGGUGGUGUUGCGCGGCCUCCGGUUCCCGCGGGACGGGUGGGCCCUUUCGCCGGAAAUCUAUCCUCUAUGGCGUGGCGUGUCGGAUGCGCCGUGGCCGCAACAAACCAAACCGUACGCUGCUGCGGGCGGAUUGGAGACGCAGAUAGCAGCGUCGCCAGCGACCAGCGUGCCAAAACUCGUCGACAUCAUCUCGUGUAGAAUAGAGUAAGCAGUUCAUUAUCGAAAUGACGUAAAUUAUCUGCUGAAAAUGCUAAAUUAAAAUUCAAUCUUGGAGAGAAAAGAAACAAAUUAUAACAGGGAUAAAUCAAACCAAAUAUCAUAGUUUAGGAGGUAUAAAAUUGAAAAAAAUAGUUUAGGAGUUAUCUGAACUCUUGUUAUACUUGAGGGAAGGGAAAUACAUUAAGCCUUUCUUCCUCUUCUUCUCCAUGUAUUUCACUUAUCAUCAUCAUCAUCUAAAAAAUAUAUUAUUUCUAACGAGACCUUUUUUCCCUUUACUUUUGGGCCCGAUUGUCGCCAGACGGCCCAAAGUUCAGUUACAAUUUCUCAUGGGCUAGGCCUACAUGCAUCCGAUUGGCCCAGAAGCGCUCGUUUCAGCUAUCCAUCAGAUUGGCCACUGCGGUCGUCGCACUGCGACCAACCGCCGCCGCGACGGAGAUGACGCCCCUCACCCCCGCCGCCUUCCUCCUCCUCCUCCUCUGCCUUCCGGAGGCCCCACCCGCCGCCGCCGCCGGUGACCCGACCCCGACUCCAUGGCCCCCGCAGUUCCACGCGACGAUGGUCAUGGACUACCACGGCAACAUGUCCAUCGCCGACCUCUGGUACGACUGGCCGGGCGGCCGCAACCUCCACGUCAUCCGCUACCAGCUCGCCGACGACGCGCCCUACUUCGACAACGAGUGGAACAACGGCACCUCCUUCUUCUACACCCCGGCGCGCCGCUCCUGCCGCUCCGCCGCCGUCGGGGUCGGCAUCCUCCGCCCCGACUGGCUCCUGCCCGGCGCGGUCUACCUCGGACGGCGCGACGCCGGCGGAUUCGACUGCCACGUCUGGGCCAAGGCCGACUUCAUCACCUACUACGAGGAUGUCAAGACCAAGCGGCCCGUCAAGUGGGUCUUCUACACAGGUAAUGGAUUUCUGACUUUAGUUUCUUCCCCGUCAUGCCACAGCGUUGCUUCAAGCUUAAUUAGUUGAUGUUCCCCUUAUGGAACACAAAUGUCGUGCCAGUUUGAAGGCGACAGGAGCUAAUUUGCCGGGUCCUACAUUCCUAUUAGACGUGAUCUAUACUUUCAAUUCACUACGGAUUUAAGACAUGUGGGGAAACUGAGUCUGUGCUAUAGUAGUUGAUUGAUUAUAAAAAUUAAUGUUCAGGGAGACAAACCACUGAGAAAUGCCUAUUCUAUCGAUUAUGAAACAGUAAGUUAUAUCUUGUUCUAGUGGCUGUGGAGAUAUUGGCUUUACCCACAUCAAUCACACUGGUUUGUUUUAGGAUUGUCGCAGCAAACAAAGAAAUUAUAUCUGCAAAGUUUUGAAGUGACUACAAUGUUUUUCCAAAUUUUUUGCUACAUCUGCUUGAAUACUGAGCUGAGGACAUAUAGUUUUUCUCUGAUUCCUGUGUCUAUAAGCUUUUACGCCCAGCAACCUUUGAAAAAUCACUGGAAGGCACCUUGGCCGGCCAGCAGGAGCCAUAGGAUUUUUUAACAUACUUGGUGACCUGUUUUUUCCAAGCCACUGCACACAUUAAACAUCUACUUGUUCUUAAUGUUCAUAUCUAGGUGUUUAUGUAUCAUUGUCAGUCACGUUUUCGCCCAUUAUUUUGGAUUUGCCAUUUUUGUCGAUCUGUUGCCAUUCUUGAAGAAUGAAAAAAUCACUAUGCACUGUAAGUUUGUAUAAUUCCGAAGAACUUUGCUUAGGGCCUUUGCCCAAUUCAAAUAUCCUUCCAUACUGAUUUGUUGUUGCCACCCUUGAACUUGAUUUACAAGCUUUUGAGUUUUUACCCACAAACAUUUGAUGAUUCCUAUGUGUCACUUACUGUAGCUUAUUCCUAUUCAGAAAGGUCAAUAACCUAUUGGAAUUGCCAUAAAAGUAGGGGAUGAACCACCUGCUAUUAAAAUUCAUCCAGAUUUUGUAGUAGCUGGCCCCCAGUCAUGUUUACUCCGUUGUGCAUGCUUCCAUGCAACCAAGCAUUGACCCAUGAUGAUAUGAAUGUGCUCGAACUGAAAGUUCUUCCAGUAGUAGGCCUACUUUCUUGUUUUAGUGUCAUCUUACAAAGGGUCUACAGGGUUGUAUAAAAGAUUGGACAACGCUGUGUAUGUAGGUAUGUGACCCCUCGUUGUCACUGGGCAUCAACCUAUCCAUCUGUAUUCGACUGUAAAAUGUUCUAGGUUCCAGUUAAACAUGUCUGCAAGACUGCAAGUGCCACAAGUUACUCAACAGAGUAUAGGUAACAGGCCGGACUAUAUGGAUGUAGUUUGUAAUGCUUUUAGGUGUCCCUUAAAGUAGAAGAUAUCAAGUAUAAACCAAGAGUGUGACAUUAUCUUUUCAUUUAGCUUGGUUAAGGCGUGAGGACCAAUUUAGUUGUCCCUUAGAAUAGCAGAUGUCUUUCUGUAUUGCUCCUGCUAUCACAUUCUUAUUAUCAAGUCAGCUUAAGUUGUGACCAAACGCCAAAGUGAGACAGCUUGCAGUUUUAAUUAAGUUUGUCAUGCUGAGGACUCAGGAGCAAUCAAAUGAAGCUACACUUCAUGUGUACUCGAUGAGUGCUAGUCAGGACUGCCACCUUCCCUGUUUUGUUGCUAUCCCCAAUUGCAAACACCGACACCACUUGCCUUACAGUAGUACUAAAACGGAUAUGGCUCUUCACCAUGAGAGCCAAAGCAAGCGCUUAUUACCAUGCAGACAGAUAUCUCCACACUUCUUGUUAUGCUGCAGUCCCCAAUUAACAAACACUCUGGCCUGGUUUGGUUCCCUGACCUUAUUUUUAAGCACCCGUCACAUCGAAUGUUUAGAUACUAAUUAGGAGUAUUAACGUAGACUAUUUACAAAACCGAUUACAUAAGUGGAGGCUAAACGGCGAGACGAAUCUAUUAAGCCUAAUUAGUCCAUGAUUUGACAAUGUGUUGCUACAGUAAAAAUUUGCUAAUGAUGGAUUAAUUAGGCUUAAUAGAUUCGUCUCGCCGUUUAGCCUCCACUUAUGUAAUGGGUUUUGUAAAUAGUCUACAUUUAAUACCCCUAAUUAGUGUCUAAACAUUCGAUGUGACACAUGCUUAAAAAUAAGCAAAGGAACCAAACAGACCCUCUAUAACUUUGCCUUGCAGUCCAGUUGUAUGUAACCAGAGAUAUGGUUGUCAGCUGAAGUCACCAUGAGAUGUGACCUGACACCUGUUUCCUUAAUGACUCUGUAACCUCUGUACAUUUGCCGAUCUCUGCAGGUAGGAUCGCCUACGUGAUGAACUUUGAGGUGGGAGCAGUGCUGGAGGACGCGGCAUGGCAAGCUCCAGAGUACUGCUUCAACAAGGAUGGUGGCACAAUCACCGAGGCCGCUGAUGGGCAUGAUGACAGCUUCAUCCCCAGGAAUGUGUUGUGAGGAUUUAUCUUCCACUGGUGUGUUCGCCCUGGUCUCCGGUAGAGCUCUGGACAUUGGGAUGUCGUGUAACAACUUGACCAUACAUGCUUACCCUGAUCAUGAAAAUACCAGUGGAUCCAGUAAACGUGUAUGGUCGAUUGAUACCAGUGUUUGUGUGUUGACAUGAAUCAUCGGUCUCUUCUCUUGUGCGAUGUGUAUAAAUAAUUGUAGCAAUAGAAGUGCAGAUGGGAUGGACCUGUAUCUCGUUCUAUCAGAGAGUGCUGGGGCCUGUUUGGUUACCCAGCACUAAUCUACCCAUUUUAGCCACUUUUAGUCCCUAAAGUGCUAAACAUAUGGACUAAAUGUGGACUAAAGUGUUUAGUCCUCUAGUCUAUAUGGGGUGGACAAAGGCUCUGUUUGGAUAGCAAGUGCUAAACUUUAGCACCACUUGGGGCUGUUUGGAUUCUGUGCUAAAGUUUAUCAUCUUUGGUGGGAAAUGACUACAUUGCCCUCAUUUAUUACUCCUCUUCAAUCCUAUUCAAGGCUGGCACGUUUCGCGAUGGGGGGAACUAGGGAAAAUGUGGAGUUGGGGACCACUUUUAGCACUAUUAGCAGGUUUUAGCACCCCUUGGGUGUGCUAAUGAAAAUAGUUGUACUAAAUUUUAGCACUCACCUUUUAGCACGCCUGUUUGGGAGCAUAAGUGCUAAAAGGGGAGCGCUAAACUUUAGCAUCCCUUAUCCAAACAGGGCCUAAAGUGGAUUAAAGGGCCUUAGGACACCCCUGCUCCUCAUUUAUUGCCCUCCCUCUUGCCCGACCCCCUCCGCCGACCUUCCUCCUGCCACCUCCCGCCUGGCCCCCACCGCCCUCCCGCUGCCGCCACCACCAUGCCUCGCCUCGCCUCCCUCCCUCUGCGCCGUGCCCCCCGGCCACCGCUCGUCAUGUCUUGCCUCGCUUUCUUCCUGCAGGGUACAGUGAAUGAGGGGUAUUAUCGUCUUUGUUCAUCUGCAUUAAUGGACUUUAGUCCCUUGAUCCAAAUAGGGUACGAACUAAACUUUACAUCCACCCACUCUGAAAAUAGUGAAAUCAUCUAUCACCCCUAUAAAUCCACCAAAGUUAUUCUUUGCUACGACUACCCCACCAAACGUCCCCCACUGAGGCAUCCUUCCUCCACCCACACUGAUUUGUGCACACAGAAAAUUAACUCCCUUGAAACGGACCGUCUGGAUCUCUUCUCGCAUCUUCUCUCUCUUCCUCACUCAAAUCCAACAGCCCGUACCCCUUCACCCCGCCGGCUCGCGACUCCUCGCCCACGCGGUCGCGCCCGACCGACCGUCCCCAUUGUCUCCUAUGCCCCUCACUCCCGCCCCAGACUUCUCGGCUCCUCGUGCACCACCCACUCUUGACCCCGACUCCUCAUCUCCUCUCCAUCGAUGUCGCUGCCGGGUCUCAACCAGGUUCCAACUGCUGAUUACCAUCGUCAUCGUCAUCCAGGUUCCAACUGCUGAUUACCGCUGCCACGACAUAGUCCUUGCGAGUAUAUGUGAGAAUAGCUGACAAGGUAACACUCCUGCUCCUAUUUGUCUUUCUGUGUCCAAUUGAUAUAUGUGCUAGGCAUCCCUCCUAAUUUGAUCGUUGUUAUGUACUGAAGCUGAUUAGCUAACCAUCCCGAUUGAUUUAAGUACUUAUUUCUUUUUUCCCCUUUAGAGGUUGCUGCUCAGUGCGUAGAAAAAUAUUGGUGUCCUAGCAUUUAUUAUUCCCAAGAGAAGGACUAUCAGAGUGUCAUCAGUUGAGGCAGGUAUGGAAAUCUCGGUGCCCCUGUGCAUCAUGUUUCUAUGCAGUUUUAGUAAAAUAUUGGUGGCCUAGCAUUUAUUAUUGCUAAGAGAGUACUUUCGAAUGUCAUAAGCUUGUGCCUGUUGAGAACUGUCACUUUUCUAUCCAUGUCACUCUUUUGUUGCCGCAUUUCCUGCAUCGUGGCUAACGAUGACCCCUAGGACCACUCUUUUGGUGUCCUAGGAUGUAUACUUUCUUGUUGUUAAUAUGUGGGUCUUGCAUUACAUCCAUUUUUAAGUAACAAAGGUCUGAUGCCCUGGUAUUGCAAUAUUUGAUCGGUCUUUCCCCACGAUUCCUUUUCUUUGUGAUGGAAUUUAUUUCAGAUGUGCAUGGCCUAAUCGUGUGAAAAAUAAAUCCAAACAAUUGAGUUCACCAGUGUGAUUACUUUUCUUAUUACCGCAAUUUAGGUAGUUGUACAGUAUCAUAGAUGAAUAAACAUUUGUGAAGAUGCUAUGACAAAAGAUAGAUCUUUGCUUUUCUUUCCAAUCUUAUGGAUUAAAUAUGCUUUCUCUCCUGUCUCAGGUGCUCGGUGAUCUCCAUAUUUUGCUGCUCUCAUGGUAGCUGUUUGUUACCAUGUUAAUCAGGUGGGAGAGUGGAUUUUGUUCUACAUAGCCUGGAGCUACAGAAUUGAAGUUUGGCACCUUCAAGCUGUUGAUAUUCAGGCUAUAUUGGUAUGUGCACUCAUGAUUGGCUUCUAUUUUGUUAAGCUUGUCAUUUUUCAUGGUCUUUCUAUUAUUUAAAUGCAUUACAUAUUAUCAGUUGUUGUCUUAGUGUAUUAAAUGUACUUUGCUAUUUUUUGGAGGUAAAUUACAGAGAGGUAAAUUACAGAGAGGUAAAUAAAUAUCAUCAGCUGCUUUGUUUUAUCAUCUCUAACUCAACAGCAUGUUUUCUAGAGAGAACUUUUUUUUUGUUAGUAUUGGCCUCCAAACUGAUUUUUGUUUUUCUUUUCAUGAACAUGGCAGGAUUAGAUGUGCUUCUUUUUUAUUAUAUUGAUAUUUCACCUCUUUUGUAUAUUCUGCUUAACAUUGCCAUUGAUUCUUGCAUCCAUGCCAGCUAUCUUAUCUUCCAUAAAACAAUUACUGAUUUGGAAAUUAUGAAAAAAUGAUCUGCUCUUAUCCUGGGGGCAACUAAUCAGUAUAACAUAAGUUGUCAUCUAUUUUGAUCAUUUUCUUUUCUUACUGCAGAUUUCUUUUCUUACUGCAGAUGCUUUCAGAGCUAACUGGGAAAUGGCCAUGCAAUGUUCAGCCAACUCAUAAUUCAGUACUUCAUGGACUUCUUUAGGUGAAAUCUCUUUGCAUUCUUUUCAUUUGUUUUUCUUAUUUGCCACUAUUGAGGAGAAAGAUUAGUUACAACUUAAAUACCACUUCAAAAAGCGGCAUCUUUUUUCUUGCCGCACUGAAAAUUCUUUUAGCAUCCAGACAUCGGACUUGCACUCACUACAGUACUUCAGUUUGACAAUUUCUGAUUGAUUAAAAUAGUUUGUGAUGCCAAUUGAAUUUCUCACUAUGUUUUACGUACUCAUGGCAAAGCUAGGAGUGUCUCAAUUGUCAUCAAAUUCACAUUGUUAGUGCUGCAGCAAAGACAUGCCAAAUUAUGUAAAGCAGCAGGCUGUCAUCGUCAGUCACUUUAGGUGACAUUAUAAUGUACGGAGGCAACUGAUUUCAGUUACAUGAGUUUCUUGAUUACAUUUCUCUGAACUUGGCAGGUGCAUCACCUCUAUUACUUCUGCGCUGGGAGAUGACUACUUGAGCGUGCAGAAGCACUAGCUGCUUUGAUGUUUGUCAGGUAAUCACCAACCAUGUUUUCAGUGCCAUGAUGAUCGAUUGUUUAACCAUUCAUUUCAUUUCUGCACUAGCUGCUUUGAUGUUUGUCAGGUAAUCACCAACCAUGUUUUCAGUGCCAUGAUGAUCGAUUGUUUAACCAUUCAUUUCACACUGGUUAUGUUGACUAAAUGUAUUUAUCAUAUUGUUCGUUCUACUGUCAGCUCUACAAGAACAAUGAGAAAUCUAGAGCUGUUCUCUCCACAAUGAUUUUUAUUAUAUGUUCUUUCCUGAACCCCUCAAGGUGUAUAACUGAGUGAUGCUUUUGGAAUGAUAUGUUAGGACAUGCUGAAUAGACAAGUUUUGUGCCACCCAUUGGUUAAAAUUGCUCUUGCAAAUUUGUCAUCAACCAUUGCUACUUUGGGUCCAGCAAGCAGUGUGUUCUUAAAUGUGAGUGUCUUGCCGAUAUAUCUUAGGGGGUGUUUGGUUCCUCAAGCUAAAGUUUAGUCCAUGUCACAUCGAAUAUUCAAAGGCUAAUUAGGAGGAUUAAAUAUGAGUUAAUUAUAAAACUAAUUGCACAGAUGGAUGCUAAACGACGAGACGAAUCUAUUAAUCCUAAUUAAUCAAUCAUUAGCUAAUGUUUACUGUAGCAGCAUAUUGUCAAAUCAUGGACUAAGGCCUUGUUUGGGAGGAGGGGCUAAAAUUUAGCCUUGGGCUAAACUUUAGCCCUCUCAAAUGUUGAGGCUAAAGUUUAGCCCUUGGGGGUGUUUGGGUAAGGGGCUAAAGUUUAGCACUUAUGUUGACAAAAGACCUAUUUACCCAUGUUGGAGGGGUGAGAGGGAGGAGAGAGAGAGGGGCAGGGGGAGGAAUUUUGGAUAAGGGGACCACUUUUAGCCCCUUUAGUCCAUUUUAGCACCUCUUGAGGGGCUAAUGGAUUAUGUGGGGCUAAAAUUUAGCCCCUCCAUUUUAGCCUAGGUGUUUGGGAGCACUAGUGGCUAAAAGUGACUAAAAUGGGGGUGCUAAAAUUUAGCACCCCUCUCCCAAACACCCCCUAAUUAGGCUUAAUAGAUUCAUCUCGCCGUUUAGCCUCCAUCUGUGUAAUGGGUUUUGUAAAUAGUCUACGUUUAAUACUCUUAAUUAGUAUCUAAACAUUCGAUGUGACAGGUGCUAAAAAAAAGCUUUUGCUUCGUGUAGCUAUGAGACACCAAGUGCUGUCAUGGAAUUGUGCGGUCGUUUUCUCUUCCCGAUGCAACGGCCUUUUCCUAAGGUGGCUUGCAAGGAUGCUGCUGCUUUGUGCCUUGAUAUGGCUGCAUCUUCCAUCCGCUCAAGUAAAGAUAGGAGGUGUGGCUCAUGGAACGGUUGAGGUAAUGGCUUCCACAUCCUUGAUGUCCGUGUUGAUAUGUGCAGCAGUGGUAGUCGUGGGAGGCUUAAGUAAGAAAGGAGUAGAAGAAUGCAAGAUUCCUCGAGCAUCAGAGGUCCACCAAGAUUCCUUUGGUGUGAUAUAGCCACUGCACACAACAUGUUUGUUGAAAUGCCUGGAGGAAGCUUGACCGACGGUGACCGUUGUAUUUCACUCUCGGAAGAUUCAACAUUCAAGGCGUGUGAUCUUAAGUAUAUCGUAUAUUGAAUGUAAAUUAUUUUAGUGUUGAUGUGACAUGGAAUAUGGCAUUUCGAGUUACGUGAACUUUAAGAAAUAUUUACUGUUGUUUGUUUUAUUUGCAUUAUGAAAUAUUACGUAGCGUGGGCAUUCUACUAGUCACAUGAGUAGGCAGCGCAGGCCUCGGCCCAGCAGCCGCUGACACCACCAACCAGCAGGCUUUGCCUCCGAGAAUAGUUUGCUGGACUCGUGUGAAUUCACCAUUGUCCUCCAUCCGCAUGUCGUCUAUCAUCAUCAUGCCCGUGGGCCGUGGUGGAAAAAUGUACUCCUCCUACUCCAUCCAGUUUGCAGCCAGUAAAAACGAUUUUUUUAUUUUAACCCCUUUUAAUCUAAAAUUUUAGAUUAAAAAUGGUACAGGUACCUACUGUGAAGUGAAGAUGACAAGACCACGGAUUUGAGGAUCCUGUGAAAUCACCGAAGACGCCGUUAGGAGGACCAUCUUGAAGUGGAUCCUGCCAAGUGCCAACCACGGCGGUCGGCGGGUACAUCCGAUCCGUCCGUGGUCAUGGGACGCCGGCGGUGGGUUUGAUUUGAUUAUUGUUAGCUGCCCCGCGCGCACGGUACGGUGGAGGGUCGCAUGGAGGGGCGCCGCCGUCGUGGCGCGCGCUGCGCCACACGCGUGCACGGCGACGGCGAGGCUCGAUCUCUCUGGUGGUUCGGCCGAUGGAAGGAGCAGAGCAGGGGCGAAAAAGCCUCGCCUUCCGGACGAGCUGCCGUCGUCUGUUGCGGAGCGUCAAUCAUAUCGAUGGCAUUGAUGGAUACGAUAUGAUCGGAGCAGUGCAGGGUGGUUGGGCGUUGGGGCUUGCUGGAAUCUUGGCACGCGCGUGCGUGUGGAUCAGGGAUGGAAUUGGAAAUGGAUGGGUCUAUCAGCGGAAAAACUGACCUCCGGCGGCCCAUGGAUGGAUGCAUCUCCCCGCCCUCACCUCCGGCCGAUCGAUCGUCACUGCUGCUGCUGCAUUGGGCGGCCAUUACUCGAUCGGCGGCCAAACCGGGAGCUGCCCAUCCAUCCAAUCCAUCGUUCGAUUGCUUCAAUCCAUCCAUUGUCCUCUUCCAGACACACGUACGAUAGCAGGAUCCCUAGGGUGUCCUCUUUGUCGCACCCCCUCCAAUCAAUCCAUGGCUGCAUUGGCUUUGCCUGCCUGCAAAACGCCAGGCCCAGAUCGCCAUCCGUCUUGCUGCUGGGCGCCGUGCGCGGUGCGGUUCUUGCCGACGCCAGACAGUGCAAGCUAGGUCGCCGGUCAAUCGUGAUCGACUAGUACUGUUCAUCGUUGCCGGCCAAUGGCAGCGGCGUCACAAUGCAAGAAGGUGGUAACCAGCAGCAGCGAGCGACCUGACUGGGAUGGUUGGCAGCGGCAGCUCGUCUUCCUCCCUGAGUCGGUCACUUCCUCAUCACGUGCUACUAAGCUACGCCGGCCAAAACUGUCACUGCGGGCAUUUUAGGUCACACAGUGCCUCCACAAAAACUAAUGAAGGUGAAAUUCCCUCCAAAAAAUAAAUCUCUACUGCUGGAUUACUGUGUCCUGGCAGCUUGACCGUGGACAUCGGGGUCCUUCCUUGGUAGCGCAAACGUCCUCGUCUGCCGAUAGCUGUCGUUGUUUCCCGCAGUCACGGCAAUCCAUACAGCCUAGUUGCCCACUCGUAACAGAAAGGAGAGAAAAGGUGUCAAUAUUAUAUGCAAGGUGUCCAAUUCGAUCGCAGCCAAGCCCUGGGUCGCGGGAAACACCACAUGGUUCAAGGGAAAACUAGUCCCAUAGAGCAGGUCUUUCCUGACGGCCAGAAACCGACCGAAAAAACUGAAAAAAAACCCGUCAGCAAACAGGACCUGAUGGUAAAGAAGAAAGAAAAUCACUUUCUCCUGACCUCAUUGAAGGAAAAAGAAAACCCAAGCCUGGAUUAGGUGCAGAGAGUUAGCAGUGCACCGCCAUUAGCAAUGUUCAUGCAUGACCUGAUUGAUGAUCAUUCUCAGCGUAGCGCCACUGUAAUGAAGUGAUGGAUGGAACAGGCACGGUGCCUGCCCGGCUAGCUAAAUACUGCUCCAAAUUUCAAAAUCAAUCCAUGGAUCUAACAAUAAACUAAUUAGUUUGCUCUAAACAUCACAUAUAUAUAAAGAAUAUACACGGCAUCCACACGGUUUUUUUAAAAAGAUUUCGAAUCAAUCAAGCAAAGCGGUAGCAGUACUGUUCGGUUGGAAAGAUUAAACAGCAAGUGCCAUAAAUAGCCGGCGAGCCAACAGCAUUUCGUCUUCACCCCACCCGGGUACAGGCGGACAGCUCAGAUCGCCCGCGAGCUGACCCGACUCGCGAGUCGCAUCGCCGUGGCCUCUUUCAGAAUCAUUCAGAGGUGGAGGCUGUGGAGCAGAGCACGGAGUCAGCUGCAGGCACCCUCCCUCCCUAGUCCCUCCCCCUCCUCCUAUAAAACCUCCCCGCCGCUCUCCCGCUCCCGUCGCCGUUUCUCAUUCCUCAUUCUCAUUCUCAAGUCUCAACCAAGAAGAAGGUCGAGGGGGCAGGCCGCCAUGGACUCCCAGCAAACCGUGAAGACCAACGGGCACGGCCACCACAACGACGGCGACGCCGCGGAGUGGAAGCAGGUCUCCGAGCUGAGGGCCGUCACCGAGGCGCAGGACCCUGCCUGCAAGGUUCGUCGGCGUUCGUCCUCUUCCUGAAUCUCCCCUUGAGCUAGCUGCUUCUGAAUAUAAUCCCGUCCACUUGAUACAUACAUGAUGGUUGCACACGGGAUCGCACUGUUCAAUUACUUUUUCAUUCCACAAAUCGACAGCACAAGUAGCUAUGGCCUCUCACGACAAUCGCAUGUGAACUCCAUCGCAUCACGUAUGCAGCUAGCUCCUAGCUACCUGGGGAAUCCAGUGCUCAGGGGCCAAAAGAAAAACCCUGCAAAUCAUCUAGAGUGCAAAUCAUCUAGUGUUCAGGAGCUAGCCAUCGUCUUCUCUUACAGCUGUACAUACAAUUCGGAUUUUAGAGCUUGAUAAUUCACCUUGUAAAUAUUUGUUAGUACUAGCACUAAGUAAUUAGUCAGAGCAUAGUUGUAAAUAUUGAGCCUCAGGCUCCCAGAACACACCAAGUUGUGGGCAGAGGAAGCCAAAGCCUCUGAAGAUGAUGCCGACUGGCUUGUGAAGACGGAGCAACCAUUUGCUGUGGUGCUAACCGCAAUUAGGGGUGGGGUCCGUCGUCGUUGGCCGGCCGGGCGUCGCUUUUCGCCUUGAUGGCCGGCCCCGCCGCUCACGCUUUCCUCAUUUGCAGCUGCUGCCUGCUGCUGGUGGAGUGCUUUGGGUUCUAUCUAGGUAUUUCUUGGCCAGUUUUUAUUCAAGAGAAACAAAACAAAAUUAUUAUCUUGGGCAGGCAGUUCAACAUCCGUGUCUAGGUGGUUGCAGUUGCAGGUCAGGCAGGCAGCAAGGUGGUUAGCAGUUGAGCUUAGCUAUCCGUCGUAAAUAAAGGACGUCGCCGUCUGCUCCUUUCUUCCCAGGUCCAUCUGACUCCAUUCUCCGCUGGAAUUGGACCGCCUGCUUCUUGGCUACACUGGAUUUCCAGGGAUCUCAGCAGCCGAUCCUGCUGCCACCUGCUGCCAUGGGCGCCGGCCAUGUAUAUGUGCAAGUUGCUGCCCAACAGUCCAACCAGAAAUGGCCACACAACCCGUACCAAACCACGCGCCUUCUGCACGUACAUGACUGCUGCAUCAGGCCAAGACUGGUGAAAGUAACUUUCUUUGUUUCAGAACUAGCAGUAUACUAUACCAAGCUUCUAGCAUGUGCAAGGAAAAUGGGCAGUGGUUGUUGUGGUUGUGCACCUAAUAACUUACCACUGAUGAUCCCUUUGAUUAAUUGACUCCUUGAUCCAGUACAGGAAUAACUGGUAGGACUAGUGUAUUGUAAGUGUGUGUGAUUGAAAAUGCUCACAGCUACUAUUCACUAAUUAAAAGACGGCUGUACUGGUGCACUGGAUUGGAAUGGAUGAUGAUGAAAGCUACCCAUACUGCCAUGCGGGCUUUUGAUUUCAGCCACGCAUCACUCGUGGCACGGAAAAGCCCCCCAUAAAUGUUGCCCAGCUCUCCUGUCGAUUCACUCCGGCCUCCUAAUCUCAGAUGUCAGAUCACACACACAGGCCUAACCAACUGAUAGAUGACGACGUGAUGAAGAAAUCGCAUGCCAACCUUUACUGAUCUGCUCAUCAUCUCUGAUGUCAACUGCAUUUUGCUCAAUGAAUCAUACCAGGAGGAGGACGACUACACGCUGCGGCGUUUCCUUCGCGCCCGGGACCACCACAUCGGCAAGGCGUCGGCGAUGCUGCUCAAGUACCUCAAGUGGAAGCCGACGGCGAAGCCCAACGGGUCCAUCUCGGAGGCGGAGGUGGCGCACGAGCUGUCCCAGGGGAAGCUGUGCCUGCAGGGGCAGGACCGGCAGGGGCGGCCCAUGAUCUACGGGUUCGGUGCCCGGCACCACCCGUCGAACCGCGACCUCGACGAGUUCAAGCGCUACGUCGUCUACGUCCUGGACGCCACCGUGGCGAGGCUGCCCCCCGGGCAGGAGAAGUUCGCCGCCGUCGCCGACCUCAAGGGCUGGGGCUACUCCAACUGCGACAUCCGGGCCUACCUCGCGGCGCUGGACAUCAUGCAGAACUACUACCCGGAGCGGCUGGGGCGGGUGUUCCUCGUCCACGUGCCCUACGUGUUCAUGGCGGCCUGGAAGAUCGUAUACCCCUUCAUCGACGACAACACCAAGAAGAAGUUCGUCUUCGUCUCCGACAAGGACCUCGACAGGACGCUCCGGGAGGCCAUCGACGACGCGCAGCUGCCGGAGAUGUACGGAGGCAAGCUCAAGCUCGCCUCGCCGGCGCCGGCGGCCAAAUGAUGUGAUGAUCAUCACGUACUGAUCUAUUGCUGGCUGGCAGAGACGUCAAUCAUAUCGACCGUGCUUCGAUCUAUCGGUGAUGCAUGUGAUCGAUCGAUCUGAUUCUGAUGAGGGGUGGUCCAGAGCUACGUACGUACACGGCUAUGGACACAGGCACUAGCUCGAGUGUCAAACACUAUAGCAUUAGGCAAAUCGAGUACUACAACAAGGCUCAGAAAGAUGCAAGGUUUCUGCAUGUAGCUAUCCUCCCUCCAUGUACUGCAUGCGUACAGUGCAUUGCAUCUGUAUUAAUAAUUGAGGCUAUCUACUGCCUGCUUAUACAUAUAGCAACUGCAUGCAGCAGCAUCGAUGAUGCAUCCAUGGAACGAGAACCUCCAAUGUCAAUCCCAUUUUCUGAUCUUAUGAGUGAUAAAUCCUUUGAAUUUCAAAAAAGAAGUAUAUAUAAGAUAAGAAGAAGAAAGAAGAAUUGAAGAAGCAAAUGCAACGACUAGAUAAUGUGGCUUUAAUGUUACCUCAGAACAGAAUGGUCCGCAGUGAUGAAUGUGCAUGGUUCUGCCAGGGAGGUUAUACAUAAAGAAGGACCAGUGAUUGAUUGCUGCACGUUGCAAAGGUGCCGACCGGAUCCAGCUCUGAUUCGUGGGAAAAAAGAAUUUAACGGAUCUCAAUCUGCCAUUGUGCCAUGAUCUAGCUUGGUCCCGGCCGGCCGGGACCUUGCUACGUUGUCGAUCAGGUACACAGUACACUCUGGUCUGCUCAGUCAGGCCACCAUAUGAAUAUGAAUAUGACAUCCCGGCCCGCAGAAUUGCACACCAAACCGCCGGCCGGGCUGUUGUUUAAUUUGUACCGUCGACAAACCGUGGGAGGUGGGAACUCAUGCUCAUGCAGCAGCAGCAGCAGCUGCGAAGGCUAUGUUUGACAUAGCUCCAACUCCAAACUCUACCUCGGAGUUAAGUAGAACCAACCAAACACCUCAACUUUUGGAGCAGCCCAACUCCAUAGAGUUAGUGGAGCUAUAGUUCAUUUUCUGGGAGUAUCUCUUUCCCAACUUCAAACCUAUUCGAAACGAACUUAGAUGUGGAGUUGGGAAGUAAUUACCCACCACUACCACUCAUUAUACAAAAAAUGAUUCGUUUCUUUCAUCUUUCUCCCAUCUGACCUUAUCAACGACCUGGCCUCCCUCUCUUCCCCAUCCCUCCCGCCGGCCGGCCUACUCCCCACCGCCGCUGUCCCUCCUACUGGCCGGCCCCCACUAUAGGAAAAAACAACAACAAAGGAUUAGAAGUCUCGCACCGAUAAACCUUGCUCUGAUUACCAACUAAUAAGAACCCGCUAGGGUUGAUUCCCGAUCUUUCGAUGAGAGGGCGUGGAUAACUCGAUUGGUGGAUGGAGACGACGUUCACGGCCCGACUACAGCCUUCCAACCCGCGCCUUAGCAACUGAUACACCACCUCCAAUGGUUGCUAUGAUCUUGGGAGCGCGUCACCCAGCCACUAGGGCACUCGUCCUACAAGCAAUCAAAGAACUAGCAAGAACAAGUAUGGCAAGUACUGAAUUUACUAGAUGAAGAUGAAGGUUUCAAACUCAAUUUCAAUAAUGAUAGGGUUCCGAAGAUAAGAAGAUGGGCGGCUGAUCCAGCACGCGGGCUUACAAGCAAGUAGCAAAAGCUAAACUUAAUCUAAACAAAAUCCAACCAUUCUUGGUGGCGACUAAGGGGUAUAUGAAGGUGGGAGAACGACCACCAGGGUGUUGGGGUCGUGCUCCAACCCUAGGACGCAUCCCUAAUGGAACCGACUUGAUACACGGCCUAUUAGGUCAAAAUAAGGCGACACAACACCUUUGAACAAAAAACCUCUCGGUAGUAAUUUGGUCAUUGCGGCCGCCUCAGAAUAGAUAUAUACUUGAGUCUAGAUCGAUAUGAAAAUAGACUUCAUAAAGAUUCCAUGAAGUACUUGAAUGCCCCAAUCCGAGUCCGUAUGCGACCGUGGUGACCAUCAUAAUUUGGUGCUAUCCUGCAGUCCGAAUCCAGCCUGCGAGAAUCAUUUUCCCUUUCAGUCUUCUCCCUUAUUCCUAACCAAAACAAGAGUGCAUGCGUCUCCAUGGUCUACAUAUGAUGGAUAAUAACUCAAGAGUAAACUUACUUGAUGAUUAAGUUGACGAGCACGGACGCGAGUAAUAGGACUAGAAACUUGUACUCGUGUCGGUGUGGAUGUAUCGUUGAUGGUGAUGUCCUCGUCACUCUCCCCUUCAUGCAGUUCUAGCUGGAAUUUGGAGUUGCAGCAAGAAAUGGUGGAGUUGGAGCGCAUGCGGAUCUACUCGUUCAUCCUCCAUCCAUCAUUUUUUUUAGUGGGCCUCCCCAUCCAUCAUUUACUUCUAUCUCUUGGCCCAUGUUGCAACAAGUGUUUGGGCCUCGCUAAUUUCCACUGAAUCACGGCCCAUCCGCCCACAGAAGAGCUGCAUGUGCAUCCACCAACCAUAGCAUGUCACGGACUCAUCGGCCCAAAGUAAGCGAAUCCGCACCGCCUGCGGCGUUUGCGGUCAGGCCUCGCCGCGUCGCCCCGGCCUCUCCCCGUCACCGGAAACAAAAGAACGCUGGAAAUAUCCAGGCGGGGACGCACAGCAGUUGCAGACAGCCUCAAGAAUUGCCCGACCAUGGCCGCCGCCGCAGCCGCGCUCCUCCUCCAGCCGCGGGUCGUGUCUCUACCACCUAACCCCAGACUCGCCCCCACCUUCAACAAACCAGCGCCUACCUUCGCCCCCAUCGGCCGCCGCCGCGCCGGCGCGAGGCUCAGGGCCGUCGGUGACGGCCCCGGCGCCGGGCUCGCCGACCAGACCACCGUCUACAACGGCGUCUACGGGCCCUGGACCGUCGAGGACUCCGACGUCCGCGAGGUACAUGAACACACACACACACACACACACACACACACACACGCACACGCACGCACGCACGCACGCACGCACGCACGCGCGCGCGCGCACACUUGACUGAGCCACGCGCGCAUCAGCAUCACUGCCUCUCUGCAACCUCUGUGACCAACAACUCCUACCGCAGCGCAGGUCCUUUUGUACCGGUCCGGGCUGGUCACCGCCGCGGCGUCCUUCGUGGCCGCUGCCUCCGCCGCGUUCCUCCCUGAGGGGAACGCUGCCGGCGACGCCAUCAGGCAGAGCAUCGACCUUCUCUACGCCGCCGGCGCCGCGGGGCUGGGGCUGUCGCUGGUGCUGAUCCACAUCUACGUCACCCCAAUCAAGCGCUUCCUCCAGGCGCUGUGGGCGGUCGGGGUCCUGGGGUCCGUCGGGACCUACCUCGUCGCCGCGCAGCCGCUGGACGAGGGCCUGGUGCAGUACGUGCUGGAGCAUCCGGCCGCACUCUGGUUCGUUGGCCCGACCUUUGCUGCGCUGACAGGUCUCGUCUUCAAGGAAGGUACGCAAUUGCUGUUGGUUGUGCUUAUCAAUAAUGGAAAUGUAAUUUCUUGAUUUGGUAGUCAGUAUAUGCCCUACCGCUUACAGUUGAUCCUUCCAUUGCCAUGCUCCAAUUUAUGAAUCAUAGUCCAAUUGUCCAGUGUGUAGUCCAAUUUCUGAAUUACACUGACAAGUAACACCAACAGGUCUCUGCUAUGGGAAAUUGGAAGCUGGCAUAUUAACCUUUGUUAUCCCUGGGCUUCUUCUCGGACAUCUGGUAAAUCAGAACACCACCUCAAACUGUUGCCAGCUGCACUAGUCUUUGUUCCUUAAACAAGGAACAAGAGACAAACUGUGGCACUCAUCUUACACGAUUUGUGGUCGCAAAUGCAGUCUGGUUUGAUGGAUAACAGCACAAAGUCAGGCCUUUUAGGAGUGUGGAUGGUUCUUUUCACCAUUUUCGCCGCAAGGAAGUUCCAACAGCCCAUCAAGGUAAAUUCUUUUCCAAUUGACGUGUUUGUAUCUAGCAUUAUUUUGAGCUAUUAUUUUCCUCCAUCGGUCGAAUCUGACAGUUUCAUUCUGUUCCUGACCAUUAAGGACGACAUUGGGGACAAAUCUGUUUUCAUGUUCAACGCCCUCCCUGAAGAGGAAAAGAAUGCUCUGAUCCAGAAGCUCGAGAGGCAAAACGAACAGAAGUUUGAGUAGAGAUUGUAGGCAGGUGGCGUAGCCAAUAGUUUGUCCAUGGAAGUUUGUAGCAGAUGUAUAUGAUAGUUCCGAAUAUCACGACAUGCAUCAAUGCAUAGAUGAAGAUGAGAAUAUUGUAACCGAGAUGUAGAUGGAAAUCUCUUAGGUUACAGGUCAGACAACAAGCAUACGUUGUGGAUGGCCUAUGGACUCAAGGCUAUGCAGCAUUGUCUGUACGUUUUUUGUUUGCAACAUCACUGUAUAUAUUUUUCAGUUUGUUUUGUUGUUCUCCCAUGCAUUCUUGGGUAAACACGACAUUCAUCUGUAUGAAUAAGAUGCAUGGAGGUGGAGAAAAGUUAUCUGCUAGUCGGACGCCUAUGGGCAAAGUCACACAGGCCCAAGAUCGCAUUCCCUUACACAUUAUGAGCGAUCCGAUAAUGGUGAAUCCACAGAGUUAAAUCUACAGAGAUGCACUUCAUCACCACCCAAAGGGUGCAAUAUAAUUCUCUAAUAACAUUCAUAUGCAAUACAACUCUCUGAUACAUAUAAGCUUGGGGAUGCUUAAUGGUUACUACUCGGUAGCGCCCGAUCGCAUGGUAAACAAUGGCAUACCAUGCAAACUGUUCUUGGUAAGCUCUUACAACAGCAAGGAAUUCGUUUGGGUGACCUAAAUAAAUUGCUACGAAUCACCAGAUAACCUAUCAAUGGUACACCAAUUGAGGAGAAUGCAAUUGCAGAGUCGACUAGUUUCCAUAUAUAGCGCCAUUUGAGUUCAGAGAGGCGCUGUUCUGGGGAACAUCAGCUCCCUCGACUUCUGACAUGAAGCCAUUCUCAAAGAAUGCCGAAUGGAGGGCUUGCACACACUGUUUUGCUUCGCUGUCGUUGACUACCAAGGAAAUGUUCACCUGCAUGAGUACAAAAUCAGCAUAAUCGCGCUCUUUAGAAUGUGCACAGAAACUUGAUUUUCGUUUUAAGAUCACGAGGGAUGGAUACCUUGGAUGCCCCUUGUGAGAUCAUCUGGACGUUAACACCCUGUCUUCGCAGAACAUUGAAUGCCUGGCAUGCAGCAAAAGGGUCAGUCGUUCAUGUUUUAGUCACGAUCUAGCAUUGAAGUUCUGAAUCACUAGAUGCCAAGUUGCUAACUAUAUAGUGGGUAGUUCUAACCUUUUCAAGAAUCAACGACGACCUCUGUACAUUUCCUACCAGGGAGAUGAUUGAUCUACGCUGGAGCAGAUGAACAACUGCAAAUUUUUCAAGUUCUUCAACAACAUGAUCAAGUUCCUGCCACAUCAUCAUAAAAAAAGCAAUGAAACAGGAGCGCAAUAAUAACUUAUUGACAAAAAGAAUCAUAACAUGCAUAAGAAUUUGGAAACAGCUCAGUUUCGACUAAUUACUAAACUGAAAAAUCACCACGUUAAACCUGCAAAGUAAAACCACCAGAAGCCAAUCCAGCAAAUCAACUUCAAUAUAUCAUCUGUUCUCUAAGUCAAAAUACCCCUACCUCGUGGGUUACCCACUGUUGCAAUGUAUAUAUUUAUUUAGGUUUAACUAAGCAACUCAAAACUUCAAGCUAAUGAUAACACUGAACUGAGACGACAACACACGGUAAAGUUUUUAGCUGUGUACUACUAGAGCACCGGUUGUAUUGUAUGGUGAAAGUUGAACUAAGAACAUUUUUUUAUCCAGAUCCUUACCUGCUGGAUCAACUCACGACUCCAUAGUUUUGACGGGUCUAGUGUCAACGAUAUGCUGACUUCACUAGUAGCCACACAAUCAACGGAGAUGCCCAAAUCUUCAAAUAUUGAGAAGACCUGUACACGUGCAUGAAUAUAUAAUGAAGCUGACAAAAAAGCUACUAUGAUGAAAGCAAACAAAAGAGUCACAUCAGUUGCCACAUGUAACAUUUGCAAUAAAAAUACGUGCAUGAAUGAAUCUAUAAAUCAAGCUGACAAAAAGCUAUGAUGAAAACAAACAAAAGAGCACAUGAGUGGCUACACGUACCUUUGCUAGAAAACCAUACUGGCCGAGCAUCCGUGUGCUCACUAUAUCAAGCAUGGUAACAUUUGAUUUCAACACAAUGCUGGUUAAAAUACUCUGAAAAAACAAUUUAUGAUCAAGAUGUACUCAAGCUAGCUCUGGCUCUUUCAAGAAAUUACAUAAAGCAGUAACAAGAUAUUACACAUGGAGUAAUCAUAAUCUACUAACAAGUACACAACAGACCUUGCUCAUAUCUCUGGCUUUAGUGAUGACAGUACCAGGUGCAUGACGAUUGUAUGAGUUCUUAACUCUAACUGGUAUAUCACCGUCCCUAGCAGGUCGCAUUGAUUGAGGAUGCAAAACCUAACAAUAAGCAAGUAUAAUAAGUUAACCAGAAACAAAUAAAAUAACAAAGUUAUAGGUUACUAAAAUUUUCUUCCAAGAACAUAAUCCUCCAAAACCAACAAAAAAAAAG
rnacentral:lncRNA from 1 species